rnacentral:rRNA from 1 species
UACGUAGGGUGCGAGCGUUAAUCGGAAUUACUGGGCGUAAAGCGUGCGCAGGCGGAUUGUUAAGCAAGAUGUGAAAUCCCCGGGCGUUAACCUGGGAAGUGGCGAUUUUGUAACUGGCAGUCUAGAGUGUGUCAGAGGGGGGUGGAAUUCCACGUGUGGCAGUGAAAUGCGUAGAUAUGUGGAGGAACACCAAUGGCGUAGGCAGCCCCCUGGGAUAACACUGACGCUCAUGUACGAAAGCGUGGGUAGC